rnacentral:rRNA from 1 species
CGGCCACGGUACCCUAACCGUGCGAAGGUAGCAUAAUCACUUGUUCUUUAAAUAGGGACUUGUAUCAACGGCNUCAMGAGGGUUGCACUGUCUCCUUUCUCUAAUCAGUGAAACUAAUCUCCCCGUGAAGAAGCGGGGAUACUCCUAUNAGACGAGAAGACCCCAUGGAGCUUUAAACCCAACUAUAUACCUUACUACUAAGACCAUCUAACCCUUAAGAUCUAUAUACUUGGUUUUAGGUUGGGGCGACCACGGAGUAUAACCAAACCUCCACGAUGAACGGAAUAACCCCCCAUCUAAGAGCCACACCUCUAAGAAUUAGCAUACUAACAUAAAAUGACCCAUUAUUGAUCAACGAACCAAGUUACCCUGGGGAUAACAGCGCAWUCCAUUUUAAGAGCCCCUAUCGACAAAUGGGUUUACGACCUCGAUGUUGGAUCAGGAUAUCCCAGUGGUGCAGCAGCUACUAAAGGUUCGUUUGUUCAACGAUUAAAAUCCU